GAGCACCCAACACUCAACGACAGUAUAGAUAUGUUUUCAACGCUUUUUGCUGUCGUGUACUACGCAGCGGUGUUGCCGAUAUCAUGACAUCGGGACUCAAUAUUUUGUUUUAAUAAAAUUUAACAGUAAGCUGCACAUGCUGGCGAGCUAUUCCUAUGUAACAA